CUACGGAGGUGGCGAGCGUUGCCCGGAAUCACUGGGCGUAAAGGGGGCGUAGGCGGCCGGACGAGUCGGACGUGAAAGCCCGGGGCUCAACCCCGGAAUUGCGUUCGAUACUGUCUGGCUUGAGGUCCGGAGAGGCCGGCGGAAUUCCCGGUGUAGGGGUGAAAUCCGUAGAUAUCGGGAGGAACACCGGUGGCGAAGGCGGCCGGCUGGACGGCACCUGACGCUGAGGCCCGAAAGCGUGGGGAGCAAACCGGAUUAGAAACCCCAGUAGUCC
rnacentral:rRNA from 1 species